AUUGAACGCUGGCGGAAUGCUUUACACAUGCAAGUCGAGCGGCAGCGCGGGGCAACCUGGCGGCGAGCGGCGAACGGGUGAGUAAUGUAUCGGAACGUACCCAGUCGUGGGGGAUAACUAUCCGAAAGGAUAGCUAAUACCGCAUACGUCCUGAGGGAGAAAGCGGGGGAUCGCAAGACCUCGCGCGAUUGGAGCGGCCGAUAUCGGAUUAGCUAGUUGGUGAGGUAAAGGCUCACCAAGGCGACGAUCCGUAGCUGGUCUGAGAGGACGACCAGCCACACUGGAACUGAGACACGGUCCAGACUCCUACGGGAGGCAGCAGUGGGGAAUUUUGGACAAUGGGGGCAACCCUGAUCCAGCCAUUCCGCGUGAGUGAAGAAGGCCUUCGGUUGUAAGCUCUUUCGUCAGGAACGAAACGGUAGGGCGUCUAACAUAGCUGCUAAUGACGGUACCUGAAGAAGAAGACACCGGCUAACUACGUGCCAGCAG
rnacentral:rRNA from 1 species